GACGAGGGGUCCUAGCGUUGUUCGGAAUCAUUGGGCGUAAAGCGUAUGUAGGUGGCCAUUUAAGUCAGGUGUGAAAGCCCCGGGCUCAACCCGGGAAGUGCAUCUGAUACUGAGUGGCUUGAGUAUGGAAGAGGGCAGUGGAAUUCCUGGUGUAGUGGUGAAAUGCGUAGAUAUCGGGAGGAACACCAGUGGCGAAGGCGGCCUUCUGGACCAGUACUGACGCUCAUGCACGAAAGCGUGGGGAGCAAACAGG
rnacentral:rRNA from 1 species